GAUGAACGCUGGCGGCGUGCCUAAUACAUGCAAGUCGAGCGAACAGACGAGGAGCUUGCUCCUCUGACGUUAGCGGCGGACGGGUGAGUAACACGUGGAUAACCUACCUAUAAGACUGGGAUAACUUCGGGAAACCGGAGCUAAUACCGGAUAAUAUAUUGAACCGCAUGGUUCAAUAGUGAAAAACGGUUUUGCUGUCACUUAUAGAUGGAUCCGCGCCGCAUUAGCUAGUUGGUAAGGUAACGGCUUACCAAGGCAACGAUGCGUAGCCGACCUGAGAGGGUGAUCGGCCACACUGGAACUGAGACACGGUCCAGACUCCUACGGGAGGCAGCAGUAGGGAAUCUUCCGCAAUGGGCGAAAGCUUGACGGAGCAACGCCGCGUGAGUGAUGAAGGUCUUCGGAUCGUAAAACUCUGUUAUUAGGGAAGAACAAAUGUGUAAGUAACUAUGCACGUCUUGACGGUACCUAAUCAGAAAGCCACGGCUAACUACGUG
rnacentral:rRNA from 1 species